rnacentral:tRNA from 2 species
GGGGCGGUAGCUCAUCUGGUAGAGCGCCUCGUUCGCAACGAGGAGGUAGAGGGUUCGAGUCCCUUCCGCUCCACCA